rnacentral:lncRNA from 1 species
CUUACUUUCAUCACUUUCUCUUCUUUUAAGUAUUUGGUGACUGCUCUUCUUGUGGGGACGAGCACCAUCAAGAUGGAUGAGAUCAUUUCUGCACUUCUUCAGAAUAAGAUUCUCAGAUAAAAAAAUCGAGCUUCGAGUUCAAGUAGUGACUCGACUAUGGCAGUGACCGGAGAUGAUGGUACCACCUGAAGAUUAUGGUGGCAGA